rnacentral:piRNA from 1 species
GGGUACAUCCGGAAGCUGUAGGA